rnacentral:rRNA from 1 species
AUUGAACGCUGGCGGCAGGCCUAACACAUGCAAGUCGAGGAUGAAGGGAGCUUGCUCCUGGAUUCAGCGGCGGACGGGUGAGUAAUGCCUAGGAAUCUGCCUGGUAGUGGGGGAUAACGUCCGGAAACGGGCGCUAAUACCGCAUACGUCCUGAGGGAGAAAGUGGGGGAUCUUCGGACCUCACGCUAUCAGAUGAGCCUAGGUCGGAUUAGCUAGUUGGUGGGGUAAAGGCCUACCAAGGCGACGAUCCGUAACUGGUCUGAGAGGAUGAUCAGUCACACUGGAACUGAGACACGGUCCAGACUCCUACGGGAGGCAGCAGUGGGGAAUAUUGGACAAUGGGCGAAAGCCUGAUCCAGCCAUGCCGCGUGUGUGAAGAAGGUCUUCGGAUUGUAAAGCACUUUAAGUUGGGAGGAAGGGCAGUAAGUUAAUACCUUGCUGUUUUGACGUUACCAACAGAAUAAGCACCGGCUAACUUCGUG